rnacentral:rRNA from 1 species
AUUGAACGCUGGCGGCAGGCCUAACACAUGCAAGUCGAAUGGUAACAGGAAACAGCUUGCUGUUUCGCUGACGAGUGGCGGACGGGUGAGUAAUGUCUGGGAAACUGCCUGAUGGAGGGGGAUAACUACUGGAAACGGUAGCUAAUACCGCAUAACGUCGCAAGACCAAAGAGGGGGACCUUCGGGCCUCUUGCCAUCAGAUGUGCCCAGAUGGGAUUAGCUAGUAGGUGGGGUAACGGCUCACCUAGGCGACGAUCCCUAGCUGGUCUGAGAGGAUGACCAGCCACACUGGAACUGGGACACGGUCCAGACUCCUACGGGAGGCAGCAGUGGGGAAUAUUGCACAAUGGGCGCAAGCCUGAUGCAGCCAUGCCGCGUGUAUGAAGAAGGCCUUCGGGUUGUAAAGUACUUUCAGCGGGGAGGAAGGGAGUAAAGUUAAUACCUUUGCUCAUUGACGUUACCCUCAGAAGAAGCACCGGCUAACUCCGUG